GCGUAUAUCACAUUUAAAACUGAUAUUGUAAAUGAGUAAAUCUUGUUUUAAACAUAUACUCAAAAUUAUUGCUCAAGUAAGGGAUUUGUGCUUAAAGUUUCUGCUUGAAUAAAUACUUAAGGAAUGAUAUCUGAAUGAACUUUACAUUCUUCCCGUGCGUAAUUGCAUCCUACUUUUUCUGCUCAUGAGGGACAUUGCUUUGCUUCAUUUGCUGUUAUAAAAACAAUGAGCAUCUUGUAUCCACAAAAGUAGAUAUUCAAGGGCUGGGAGUAUUAGUGAAGAUCUGAUUCACACUAUUUUGCCGUUCUUUAUGGUCCGGCCUUUCCCCGGACCCCGCGCAUAUCGGGAGCUUAGUGCACAGGCCUGCCUUUUUUUUCUUUUUUUUAAUCAUUGGAGAUAAGUGUAGGAGAGAACUUGACAAAGCAUUCCACUGUACGCGACCUGCAUAAGAACGAGAAAUCGACUGAUUGCUCAAAAAGCUUUUUCAUGCAAUAUAAGGUAAAACGUAAAAGUCAAUCUAAAAUUUAGUUAUAGAAAAUACCAAGUGAAAAAAAUUAUUUAUAGGAAAAAUGGCCAGGAUAAUAAAGUUUGUGAAAGCCAAAAGCUAUUACCAAGCAGCUAGCUAUGUGUAUUUUAGUAUUUUAUUUGAAGGAGAUCUCUUUAUUGUCUCUUUUAGUGAGUUGAAUGGUUGAAAAGGAAACUAAAGGUUAAUGACAGCAUAUGAGAGUGCAUGAAGCUAGAAAGAAAGCAUUGAUUAGAAAUCAGACAUGUGCAGAUAUUAAUACGGUCGGAGUAUUAUUGCACUAAAAAGAAAUUAAUUACUGAUCAAAUUUUUGAUUUAUGGUUAAAGUGACAACGAAGAAGAGUUGGUGUCAUCGUAGAAGACAUUAUAGCAUAAGAGAAUACUCCAUCCAACUUGACUGUUGCCUUUGAAACAUAAUCAUGAAGAUAAAGUGAAGAAAUAAGUAGUGAUCUUUUAAUUCUAUGCACAGAAAGAGAUGAAAGUUUAGGUCAAAAGAACCACAGAUCAAAGAAAAGAUCGCCACAUUUCCCUAGUCAUUAUAUGAGGAGUCAGUCCAAUGCAUUGUCCAUUAUUUACGUAUCUUCCUAGGUGAUGUUGCUCAAUACCACAUAAGGAGACUACAAUCCAUACUCCCAACUAAUGUGAGAUGCUUAAAAACCCCUGUGUGCCUAGGACUAGACAUUUGGAGUAUGGACAACAUAACUUUGGGAGCCAUCAGUAAAAACGAAGAAUUGAGGUGAGUCUAAUUGUGAUAUCAUGUAAGAAAAGAGGGAUUGGGGCUAACUUAACACGAAAACCCAGCUCAUUAACCUUGAGGUGCAAUUCACUAGGAAAUUCAUUAGUUGAAAUGCGAAAUUAGAGUUUACCAUGUUCUUCCUGUAUUUACUCUCUCAGCUUCCGAAAACGAGACUAAUAUGUAAAAACUGAUAAAUAGGAACAAGAGGCAGGCUAUCCUAAAUGGAAUUACCUCACUUCAAAUUUCUUCAUUCACAUGAUGCAUUAGAGGGACCUAGAUGGAGAUUGAGCUGUAAGUUUAGUUUCAUGGAGAAUAUGGCAGUGAUAUAGAGGACAAGAGCAUGCAUGUUUUGAAUGCCAAAAGUCUCUGUGUUCACUAGAAUUGUUGCUAGAAUCCAGUAGGAAUUUUUUUUUUCUCUGAUGGAAGUUCAACAACAGUUUUAGCAUAUGAAUCAACUACAUACCACCUGCCAUUAUUGCCACGAAUUAUUUUCCUACUGGAUUCCAGCAGCAAUUCGAGCAAGUACAGCAUCUCCUGUCAUACCAAAUAUGCGUGCACCUUGUUCCUCCAUAUCACUACCUCACUUUCCAUGGAACUGGACUUAUAGCUCAAUCUCUAUCCAGAUUCCAUCCAUGUAUCAUAUGAAUGGAGCAAUUCGAAGUGAGGUAAUUGCCUUCAGGAAAAGCCUGCAUCUUAUUCCAAUUCUUCAACUCGCCUUCAAAAGUUUCUAUUUAAUGGAGUAUCAAUUACGUGGGCCAGAGAGAAGAGAAAUGAUAGAACUCUUUUGAAAAAGAAGAUUGAUGAGAUUGAGAUAGCGAAUAAGGAAGAUUCUUGUACUAGAUUCUGUUAUUGGUGAAGGAUAGAUCUCUAUGCUUCCUUUAUUUGAUUUCAAGCAAGGUUGGUUGAUAAGUUCCAUGUAGAACUAGGAUUCCAGAAAGCACAAUACUCUCUAUCUUGGUUCAUAGUUG
rnacentral:lncRNA from 1 species